ensembl:lncRNA
GUUCUGAGCAGCCAAUCAGAAGCUACGCAGGCCACGCUCAGCCUGUCGGCUCGGAGAGGAAGUGCAGUCGCGUUGCUCUUCCAGUCUUUUCGGAUCUCAGCCAGAGAAGCGAGGGCAGCUGUGUGUUAAGGAGAAGAGGAAAACCAGAGAAAAAACCCAGAGUGAAACCUGUGAAAAAGGAAAAAGAGUCGGAGCACUUACCCAGUGGAGGUCCGGAGCCAAGUGGCUGAACGAAGGAGAGUUACGUCGCAGGCUAACUGCUUGCCUGUCCUCUGGAGAGCUGCUACGAGGUUCGGCAUCGGCAUGCUCCACCUUGAUACACAGAGCAACGGUCAGGUUUUUUAGAGGACUGAAGAGUCUGAGGUUCAGGACAACUUCCUGCUGUAA